UUAAACGUCCAUAGCGCGUUGAAUACACCGGUUCACUGGAAGUUAAGCAACGUCGGGCGCGGUCAGUACUGGAUGGGUGACCGCCUAGGAAAACCGCGUGACGUUGGCU
rnacentral:rRNA from 1 species